AAUUCCAUGCCUCUCCUUCAGUUGACAUUGUGUUUACAGGUGGUACUGCCGGGGCUCCUGCCAUGGUUGUUAAUGUGGGGACAUCGGGGAUUAUGGCAAGGUGAUAGGCCACAGGCAAACAUCAUCCUGGUCUUAUUUGGGGCUUAAUCUUUCAUUCACACCAUGGUGUGAUAAGUUUGUCCAAAUUUAAUGAAAGCCUCCCAGAAAGUGAAUGAUUCUGUAUUUUCUGUCUUUUCCCUCUCUCGAAUGUGCCACUUCGGUCUCUAAGAUAUAAUUAUUUAAAUAUGGGAGCUAGCACAGUUAGCUUGGAUGAAUGAAUUUGGAAUUUGGAAGAAUUUUGGAAGUUUAGAAUCUUUAGGGCUUACAGCCAGCUGUCUCAACACUGGACAUAGAGGCAAAGCCCAUCACAUGGUGGAGCUUGUCCUAGUCGCUCAGGGUGGUCAUCAGGGUCCCUGGCCCCUAGCAGGGAGAUGUCAGUAGUCACACACACAAAGAGGCACGAGUUUUCACAGGAUGUCACUGACUCCAUGAAUCUGGAGAGAUGGACCCCAUCCUCUUAAAACCAAGUCUGCCCUCUCACAGCCCCACCAUGUAGUGCUGAGGACCAUUUUGUUCCUGGUUUCUCCGGCUACAGAACCAUGUACAUUGCAGGACUUUGGAUGCUACAGAAGACAAAGGCUCAUUUUACAUCAUGUCCGUGGCAAGUGCUCAGUCCGCCCAGGGUCAAGUCUCAUCAUAAAGCCCCCAUGGUGUCAUUGCGGUCA